AUGAAACAUGACCGUACAGCCCGGAAAACUCACAGCAAUCCUAAGAGGUAGUUUAGCCAGUUUCCCUUCUCUUAAAGAUGGCCUAUAGCAGUUAAGAUUCUGGGUUGCUGUGAUUUUUCCGGGCUGUAUGGGCAUGUUCCAGAAGCAUUUUCUCCUGACUUUCGCCUCUAUCUGUGGCAGGCAUCUUUAGAGGUUGUGAGGUAUAUUGGAAACUAGUCCAGCGAGGUUUAUAUAUAUCUGGAAGGUCCAGGCUGGGAGAAAGAACUCUUGUCUGUUGGAGGCAUGUGUGAAUGUUGCAGUUGAUCAGCAUUGAAUAACCUUGCAGCUUCAAGGCCUGCCUGUUUCCUGCCCCGGAGAAUCCUUUGUUGGGAGGUGUUAACUAGCCCUGAUUGUUUCAUGUCUGGAAUUCCCAUGUUUUCAGAGUGUUGUUCUUUAUUUGCUGUCUUUAUUCUGGUGUUUUUUAAUACUGGUAGCCAGAUAUUGUUCAUUUUCAUGGCUUCUUCCUUACUGUUAAAAUUGUCCACAUGCUUGUAGAUUCGUUGGCCGUCUCCCCUCCAAGCACUAGCCAGAGCUGAUCCUUCUUAGCUUUCAAGACCAGUGCCUUUGAAGUACUAUUUAUUAUAUACAGAACAGCCCCAUCCUUGUACAUGGCGCUUUAGACGUAAAAGGGCAACAGCACAGUGCCCAGACUUCUGGUUUGCAGUCUAAGACGUGACACAAAAGGCAAAGAAGAUGGCCUUGUGUGUGUGUGGGGGGGGGGGGUCCACUUUGUUGGGUUCGUCCUUGUUCGUGAUUGCUGCUGGAUGCCUUCGACAGCGAAAUCGAGAAGGGGGGGGGGGUUAAAGUGUUAGUGUUAAAGCCUGCAGAAUUUCCUGCCCCUGGAUGUGGCCAUUACUAUAGGGAGAAUUACCCAAAGGUGAAUCUAUAUUGUAGAAUUAAUGCAGUUUGACAUCACUUUCCCUGGCUCAGUGCUAUGCAAUCAAGGGAAUUGUAAUUUCACAAUGUCCUUAGCAUUGUGUUGUCGAAGGCUUUCAUGGCCGGAAUCACUGGGUUGCUGUGAAUUUUCCAGGCUGCAUGGCCAUGCUCUGGAAGCAUUCUCUCCUGACGUUUGUCCUGCAUCUAUGGCAGGCAUCCUCGAGGUUGUGAGCUCUGUUGGAAACUAGGCAAGGGAGGGUUUACAUAUCUGUGGAAGGUCCAGGGUGGGAGUAAAACCCCAUUUGCCUAGUUUCCAACAGACCUCACAACCUCGAGGAUGCCUGCCAUAGAUGUGGGCGAAACGUCAGGAGACAAUGCUUCUGGAACAUGGCCAUACAGCCCGGAAAAUUCACAGCAACCCAGUCUUUAGCCUUCUCUGCCAAAUAAUGCUGGUGCCUUCCCAAAGUACAACUCCCGGGAUUCCGUGGCAUUGAGUCACUGCAGUUAAAGUGGUGCCAAACUGCAUUCCUUCUGCAGUUUAAAUGUGCCCUUGAGAAACGUGGGGGGGGGGGGGGCUUUCCCCUCCUGUCCCAAGACGAGUGAGAGGCCUCAAUAAGGCGCCGGUGCGUCUUAUUUCGGAGUCAACCCGCUUCGCCUUCCUCCCUGCUUAUGGUUCCGGACGUGGCAUGUCGCCUGGGAGAGAGAGCAGAGCCAUCGCUUUUGCUAAAAAAGCCAGCCCAACAUAGAGGCCAAUGUAAGCGCCUGCUUGUGGACCAUCUUCUCGCAAGAUCUUACGAGGACCCACGAGACCUCACGAGAAGAGCUAGGCCUCAGUUGAGGCCUUCCACGUUCGGCGAGGAGGGAGCCGAUGGUCCCCGCUGCUGCCGCCGCCGCUGAAAAUGCAAGAAUCAGGAGCCCCAGUCUUGAAGUGAUGUGGGUCCAAGGUCCAAUCACAGGAUGAUCUUUCUUCCUAAAGGCAAAGAAUCCCAAGAAAUGUUCUACAUGUUAUACACAGAGACUGAACCUGUUCAGACUGCAGAUGUGGGGUUUUGGCAUGUGCCUGCCUGUGAAAUCAAUAAGCAGCAAAAUAUCUUAGCUGUAUUUUGUAUCCUCAUUACUAUGUAGUCAAUUGACACAUUAGGGAAAAAAAUUUCACACAGUCCUCCUACACAUGUGUAAGUAGUCUGCGUCUGGGGAACAUUCUAAAAAUAUGACCCAACCUCUCUUACAGCCUGAAGUAAUAUAAACCCCUCUCAGUUCAGUUCAGUCUUUUGAGGAGUGUUGCAGAACAGUUCUAACUUAACAUCAGAGCUCCGGAGAAAUACAAGUGUAGCUUUAACAAUCCUGUAUUGCAUGUUCAUGCAUUAGACCAGACAGAGAAUGGCAGCAAAGACUUUUUAGUCAAUAUAAAAAAAAAAUGAUCUUCAGUGUUUGCUUUACAUUUAUUAAGAAAAGUCACUGAAGCUCCUGAAAUGUUUCAUUUUGAUGAAGAGGUAAUUUGGUGCUUCACAUUUUUAUGAAUGAAGAUAUUGUUUGAGAUGUGAAAUAACCUAAACAUGCCUUUAUCUAGUUUCCUCAUGCUUUAAGAAGACAAUUAUAUUCAGAUGACUAAGCAAACAGCCCAGACAUAUUGCCUUCUUUCUUGGCUGAAACAAUGAUCAGAAUUGCCAAUGAAAAAGAUCAAUAGGUGAUGCCCCAGUACACAUUUUCACUUAGGUAAGGUAUCCUUUUUUAUGUUUGUUAUCACUGUAAUAAAAUGUGCCAUGGUUUCCUAGAAAUAACACACAGACCUGAAAAAAUGGUGCUGAGCAAUGCCAAAUGCUGUAAGUAAAGGCUUGAUGAAGUCUGGUGAGGAGCCAGUGUGUUGUAACAAUCUGGGCUUUGUACUAAAACUUUGGAGAACAGGGUUUUAAUCUUGAUCUUCUGAUGCUCAUUGAUGGAUUUUAUGAUGCUUUUAGUCUGUGUUUUAAUUGCUCUUAAUUAUAAUGUGGUUAUGCAUUUUAUUUUAUAUCUUGUUUUACAUCUUGUUUUUUGGGCUUGGUCCCCAUGUUAAGCUGCCCCAAAUCCCUUCGUGGAGAUGGAGGCAGGUUAUAAGAAUAAAGUUGUUGUUAUAUUAUUA